rnacentral:rRNA from 1 species
GUGCCAGCAGCCGCGGUAAUACGUAGGUGGCAAGCGUUGUCCGGAAUUAUUGGGCGUAAAGCGCGCGCAGGUGGUUCCUUAAGUCUGAUGUGAAAGCCCCCGGCUCAACCGGGGAGGGUCAUUGGAAACUGGGGAACUUGAGUGCAGAAGAGAAGAGUGGAAUUCCACGUGUAGCGGUGAAAUGCGUAGAGAUGUGGAGGAACACCAGUGGCGAAGGCGACUCUUUGGUCUGUAACUGACGCUGAGGCGCGAAAGCGUGGGGAGCAAACAGGAUUAGAUACCCUGGUAGUCCACGCCGUAAACGAUGAGUGCUAAGUGUUAGAGGGUUUCCGCCCUUUAGUGCUGCAGCAAACGCAUUAAGCACUCCGCCUGGGGAGUACGGCCGCAAGGCUGAAACUUAAAGGAAUUGACGG